UUGAAAGAAAACCAGCCAGUUAAAGCUUCGAUUGGAACCCUCAACUCUCCAUGACUGCAGAGUGAAAUAUAGCUCCGGGCAUAGAAAAUGUUCCUCCAGUGCUCCGAUAAAUAGCAUUCAGUUUUCAGCCCCAGGGAAUUCAAUGCAGCCCUAGUUACCCCUCACUGCCAUCACAGCCAUUGAUUCCUUGGGCAGUGGAAAUGAUUUAUGAAGGUGAAUAGCCAUUUCAAACUUUAAUUAAACACAUAGAGAACCAUCAUUUUUUAAAGGGUAUGAACCAAGAAAGAUGAGAGCUGAACUCCUGUAGAACACUAAUUACCUUUUCAACACUUUGUCUCAUCUCCUUGUUUUUCUUCCAGAUUAGUGAGAGACUGAGCCAAUCUACUAUCCCCACAGAAAUGUCCAAUUAUUUGGGCAGAGGGCAGUCAAGCCUAUGCUGAAUUGUAGACACUGCUGUGUUCCUGCACCUGUUUCAGUUAUCAGAGUCUCCUAAAAAGCUUCACAACCUACCACUGUCCACACAGGCUUUCUGGUUCCCAUGUUGCAAGGCUGAAAAUAGAGUCCGAGAGAGAAGAAGUGAGAAUGGGGCCUCUGAAUGGCAGAGAGACCACGGGAGAACAUCUCCUGGAGCCUAGAGGGAUGAAAGAAGUGUCCUGAGCUACCAGAUAUCCAGCGUCACAGCACCUUGCCUCCAUCAUUCACCACAUUGUUCUCUCUUCACACCAACUUUGUAGUAGUACAAAGUAUCGAUGAUGUGGCAAUUACUUGUCUAGGCAUUUGCUAUGUAUUUACUUAUUUAAUCUCAUAAUAACUGUGAGGUUAUUAAUAACUGUUAAGUAUUAUUUCCAUUUUGAAAUCUAGGGUAAUCAAGCAGAGAGAAUUUUUUUUUUAAAUUUUUUUUG
rnacentral:lncRNA from 1 species